GAAGCGCCGGAGGCUCCCACCCUCGCCGAGUCAGCCCAUGCGGGGCUGCGGCGACGUUGCCCUUUUAAGAGACAGCCUCUGUUAACCCUCUCUUAACGGGGCGUCCCGGCGGGGGGCUCCCGGCGCCCGCCAACAGCCAGCCUCCUCCCCGCGCGGCACUUCCGGACCCCCGCCGUUGCCCUUUUAAGAGGCAGCCCCCAGCAGCUCUUUCCCCCGCCCCUUGUUGCCGGCGCGCAAGGCGGGGGAGCCCUGCUGGAGCGGAGAGCGCUGUCCGCGCGGCCACUGGAGACCGGGCGGCCGGCCGGGCAGGCGGCGGCGGCGGCGGAUGGGGACUUGGAGUCGGGCGACUGUGGCGGCUGUGGCUGUGGCGGCAGCGAGGAAGCAACUGACGGGCCGGCGGCGGCGGCGGCGCUGGCGGCGGUGACUGGUCCAGGCCCCGGCGGCGGCUGCAGCGACGCAGUGGCGGGCUGCGGGCUGGCGGCGUGAGGAGCGGCUGCGGAGAGCCGAGCGGCCGGGAACCGAGGGCGCCGGGCCGCCCCUUGCCCAGUCCUUGCAGGCCGCCAGGCCCCCUCCAACCGGGGCCGUGGAGCACCGGGGCAAAGGCCGGGGCCCCCCCAUGAAGGAGCGCGACGCGGCCCCGGCCGAGCGGGGCAAGCCGGCCACCUACACCGGGGACAAGAAGGCGAAGAUGGCGGCCAAGACCAACAAGAAGUGGGUCCGGCUCGCCACCGUGUUCGCCUACGUGCUCUCCGUGUCGCUGGCCGCCAUCGUGCUCGCCGUCUACUACAGCCUCAUCUGGCAGCCGGUGGGCGCCGGGACCUCGGGGGGAGCCGCCGGCCCGCCCCCCGGCGGCUCCAACGCCACCGGCCCGUCCGGGACUUCGGGGGCGGCGGCGGGGCCCAACAGCACGGGAUUGUCCCGUCGCGAGGCGCCGCGCGACGCGCCCCCGCUGCAGGCGGCGCGGCCCGUAUCUCCGGAACCCUCUGCCGACAGCCCCCAGGCCGGGCCGCUGGAGCAGCCGCGGGGGGCCGAGGAGGACGAGGAGGAAGCGGCGGCGGCGCCGGGGAGUCGUUGAACCCCUCGGUGGCAGGGGCGGCCGGAAACCAUCCUCCCCAAGCCCGGAGGCAGGACUUUGCAGCAGGACCGGGCGGGGAGCCCGCGGAAGUGACCCCCACAGGAGUGAACGCCUCUCUUCCCCCGAUGAUCGCCGGCUCGCCCCAGGGCCCCAAGUAUCUGGACACCCGCCAGGGAAGAAAGGAAGGGAAAGAGCAAUGUCUCUGUGCUUCAACCCUUGGCCUUCUCACAGAGGUUAGGAAGAGCAAGCUUUUGUAAGUAGAAUGGCUCACAAGUGUUUUAUCCUUUUUCUUUUUCCCUGCUCUUCAAGGUCAGGUCUUGUUCUGUAAUCACCUUCACCUUCCCUCUUGCCCUGAGCUUGUAGUGACAGUGUAGCCCUGUGAUUAGAAUGAAAUCUGUUGUAAAUCCAGAGCUUUGAGCACAUCCUCUGGUUUUGAGUUGUACUGUGGAACUUGAAAGGCUGAAAGAUGGGCUUCAAACUCAGGAUUGUGUUCUGAUAGCCAGAUAAUAGACCACCCAUGGGAAAGUUAAACUGCCUAGUCUUUACCUCUCCUGAUAAGCCCUACUUAUAUGCAGCCUAUACUUUCAUUGAGAUGAGAAGCAGCAAGUGAAAUGACAGAUGUAAAGCUAGCUCUGGGGCCACAAGAAUUCUACAUCCUCAAUUUGGAUUCCAUUUCCUUCCGCCACUUGCUUUUAGGCAAUUGAGUGUGGGUAGUGACAAGAUAUCAAACCCGUUCGUGUUUCCUUUUUGGGAAAUGAGGCACUUUAAAACAACGACGACAACAACUUAUCCACCUGAGUCCUGAAACAAUUUGUCUCUCCAGUUUUCUGGCCUAUACUCCAGUUAGCUCUGAUCCAGGUUUACAGGACCACAGCCUCGAUUUCAGCCAUGUCCUGCUGUGGGCAAGAUAAAAGCAGCUGAGCUGUCAUUGCCUAGGGGCAGGCUGGUAGCACCCCCAAGGUGUCUUGGCUGAAGGAGAUUUCCUAGCACUUGACUUUGGUCAUUAGGAAGCCUUUGAGACCUUUUUAAAUUUUUGGUGAGGGCCUGGGGGAAGAAACAUAGAAUGCCACUUUAUAACUUCAAUAAUAGCCUGUAAUUUAUAUUUAUUGUGUGAAUUUUUAGUCCUAUAUUUUAAUAAUUUGUAAAUCGAUCUCUUAUUCCAAGAAUCCUUUGAACUGGCAGGAGAACAUCUGGGAGUCCAGUCCCCUGUCCCCAUUCUGACCCCUGCAUUCUGGACUGUUGAAUCCACUUUGGGAUGGAUCGGCGUCUAGAGAGACCACUUGUGGGUUCAGCUGUUGGCCUCCUGACUCUAACGCCUUCACUGGAAUUGGGACAUCAACUCCAGCCCCAGCUGUGAGCAUGCCCAGAGACAUUAUUUAUAAUUCAGCCAUUUAAGAUAUACCUGUACUCAAAAAGUCCUGUAUAUUUUUUAAAAGUUUUAUUUUUCAGGUGAACAAAAAUACAUUCUAAGAACUCUA